CCUACGGGAGGCAGCAGUGAGGAAUAUUGGUCAAUGGACGAGAGUCUGAACCAGCCAAGUAGCGUGAAGGAUGACUGCCCUACGGGUUGUAAACUUCUUUUAUAUGGGAAUAAAAUGUUCCACGUGUGGGAUUUUGUGUGUACCAUAUGAAUAAGGAUCGGCUAACUCCGUGCCAGCAGCCGCGGUAAUACGGAGGAUCCGAGCGUUAUCCGGAUUUAUUGGGUUUAAAGGGAGCGUAGGUGGAUUGUUAAGUCAGUUGUGAAAGUUUGCGGCUCAACCGUAAAAGUGCAGUUGAAACUGGCAGUCUUGAGUACAGUAGAGGUGGGCGGAAUUCGUGGUGUAGCGGUGAAAUGCUUAGAUAUCACGAAGAACUCCGAUUGCGAAGGCAGUUCACUGGACUGCAACUGACACUGAGGCUCGAAAGUGUGGGUAUCAAACAGGAUUAGAUACCCUGGUAGUC
rnacentral:rRNA from 1 species